AUCAUGUUUGAAGGUUAAACAACAGAAAAAAGAGAAUUUUUGCGCUGCGUGUCAAUUUUAGUCCUCUUUUGAAUUGUUUCAAUUUUAUACAUCUUGUAAAUAACUAAGAAAACUAUGCUUGGACACUGCGUUGAGCAAGUUGUUCUCCAAAGAGCAGCAGCUUCAUUCACUUUCAGAUUAUGGAUGAUGUUGAAGGUGGGUGCUUUUUGGUAGAAAAAG
rnacentral:misc_RNA from 1 species